rnacentral:lncRNA from 1 species
UUGGUUCUUGUUUUAGCUUUUGAUGACAGGAAAUAUGUAAAGUAGCUUAACCUUACCUGUGAUUCAAACAACUUUAAUAAAUUUACUGUAGUAAAAGUUUCACAAUAAGCACCUUUUUACCUUGUAAUUUUAGAUUAAAUUCAUCAAGGCCAGGGGCAGCAGCUCACUCCUGUAAUCCUAGGAUUUUGGGAGGCCAAGGCAGGCAGAUUGUCUGAGCUCAGGAGUUUGAGACCAGCCUGGGUAACACAGUGAAACCCCUUCUCUACUAAAGUGCAAAAAUUUAGCCAGGAGUGGUUGUGCAUGCCUGUUGUCCCAGCUACUUGGGAGGCUGAGGCAUGAGAAUUUCAUGAACCUGGGAGGUGGAGGUUGUAGUGAGCUGAGAUUGCACCACUGUACUCCAGCGUGGGCAACAGAGAGAGACACCGUCUGCCAAAAAAAAAAAAAAAAGAUCCAUGCAGCAACAUGGAUGGAUUUGGAGGCUAUUAUCCUAAGCAAGCUAAUGCAGGAACAGAAAACCAAAUACCACAUGUUCUCACUUGUAAGUGGGAGCUAAACAAUGAGAACACAUAUACCAAGAGGGGAACAACAGACACUGAGGCCUACUUGAAUGUGGAGGGUGGGAGGAAGGAGAGGAUCAGAAAAAAUACCUAGCAGGUACUACGCUUAUUGCCUGGGUUGCUGUUAAGUGCCAUUGAUAUGCUGAAUGAAGAAAAUGACAGAUUGAAGCUAACCAGCCACAAACUCAGGAAAGAUGUGACAGCCAGAAUGCCACUACGACAGGAUUUUUUUUUUUAGAUGGGCUCUCACUAUGUUGUCCAGGCUGGUGUUUAAUUCCUGGGCUCAAGUGAUCCUCCUGCCUCAGCCUCUGAAGCAGCUGGGACUACAGGUAUGAGUCACUGCACCUGGCCCUAUCAAAGCACUGUUAAAGACUGGACUAUGUAAGCAUUUCUCCUUUGCAAGGAGCGUGAUGUUGAGCUUUUUCAGUAGAGGGCACAGGAGGGAUACUGUAGAAGGAAGGGAGCUUCUCUUCCUAGUUCCAGUGUGCUGCAUUUUGCUUUUAUUGCUCCUCUUCCAUUGUCUAACAGCAAUGAGUGUAUGCCGAUGGUGGGGACUAUCUACGAGUGCUCUGUUCAAGCUGUGUGCACCAAGAAUGGGAAUGCAGCCCCUCAGCUGCACACUAUAAAUAAGCUACCAUGAGGCCCCAGUGUGGGCCCAGAGACCACCUUGCUGCUGCCAAUGCAGAUUUAGCACACUCCAGACCGCACAGCCGUAGUGGUGCCCUCACUGUCUCUGCAUGCCUGUCCACUGGCCUCAGCUCACCUCGCAACCCUCCUGAUGUGGACACCACGUGCUCCAAGCAGCCAAGCUCUCCAUGCAGGCCUGUCCAUCAGCCUCAUUCCCCUGGCACCCUGGGGGUUGUUUCCUGCUUGCCUGCUGAUUGCUGACUAGCUCUGGCCUGGGCAUGUGGCAGACCUUUCCGCCAUCCAGUGGACUGCAGCCGCAGCUUCUCCAAUAAGGUCUCAACCAGGGCCUUGGUAGUAUUCUCCCUCCACUCCACAAUACCCUUUAGAGCUUUUUUCACAUCUUUAUAGUUACCAUCCUGUCAUCAUUUAGUAAUUCUUUAUAUUAAGCCACUCUGUUUAAGUUACUGGAUGGUUUCUGUCUACUAAUUGGACACAGACUGAUAAAAAAUCGGUCCUGGCCGGGUGCGGUGGCUCACACCUGUAAUCCCAGCACUUUGGGAGGCCGAGGUGGGUGGAUCACUGGAGGUCAGGAGUUCGACACUAGCCUGACCAACAUGGCGAAACCCCAUCUCUACUAAAAAUAUAAAAAUUAGCAGGGCGUGGUGGCACACACCUGUAAUCCCAGCUACUUGGGAGGCUGAGGCAGGAGAAUCACUGGAACCUGGGAGGCGGAGGUUGCAGUGAGCCCAGAUCGUGCCAUUGCACUCUAGGCUGGGUGACAAAAAGCAAAAACUUCAUAAAAAAAAAAAAAAUUCAGUCCCAGGAGUGGUCCCAGGAAUAGACUGAUAAACGUGAGAUGUGGGCAUUGGUUUGUUUGUGUCCUUGGGCUUGAGCACAGUACUAACCUCCUUGUCCAUGAGAAAUGGGCGUGCAAUGGCGUCACAACUAGUCAAGCCAUCAUCUGUGGUUGAUUUUUAUAGAGUGCCAACGGAAGGAAGCACAUGCCUCAGGAGCCCAUAUGGCUGCUACCCUGCACCAUUAUGACAGUAAUAAUGACUAUAAGCUCUAAGGUGUGGGACAGUUCUUUCCAGCGUACUUGGGAGCUCAUAAGAGAAAAAAUGACAAGCUCCUGUCUGUUACCUUUCAGUUCAAGUCUUGAAGUGAGAACCAGAAAGCUUCCAUGAUGACCCUAAAAAGAACCUUGCCGGGAACGUGACUCAUGCCUAUAAUCCCAGCAACUCGGGAGGCUGAGGCAGGAGCAUUGCUUGAGGCCAGGAGUUUAAGACCAGCUUGGGCAGCAUAGCGAGAUCUUGUCUCUAAAAAAAAUUAUUUUUAGGAAUCUUUCUUGUAGAUCCAGGGCUGAUAUUGCUGAAGACCAAAAAUAAAAUUUAAUUGUGCAGGUUGCUGAAUAAUAAUGACAUUUCAGUUCACAGUCUUGCCAAGUUUUUAAUGUGAAAGUUAGGGCACUGAUAAGGAAAGAAUGGGAUCCUGAACCUUGUAAUCAAGACAUCUCAAAUGAACUGAGACAACUCAAAUGAAUUGAGACAUCCAAAUGAAGCCCAUAGUCUUGAGAUCCAAGAUUAUCAGGGGGUCGUUCUGAGUCCCCUGACCAGCAGAAGUAGGUUGCCCUCUGGUGUCUGAGGACGUUACCUUUGUUCUGCUUGAAAUCCUUGUGACAACCUUGCUUGAGGCAGACGCCUUGAAUAGGGAUGCUCAUUCUCCACUAGACCCACCAUAGCCAUACCCUGUGGCCACCAGACCCACAAAGUCUUAGCAUGCUCCAGAGGGACAGGAGGACUUAAGACCCAGGAGGAGACAGCUUAGGCACGAAAAGGAUUGCAGGGCCUUGCUAACAUAUAUUAGUAGUAAUCUGGUGACUAUACAUAGGAAUGGAUUCUGAGGUUGGUAGAUCAGAGGGCAAAAUAUAACACAAUAUCAGGCCAAAUCCUUUUACGUGAGUGUGCUUACUAGAAUUCUGAAUGUAAAGUAUUAGCUUGUGUAGAUAAAGGUGAAUCUAACUGCUUAUUUUGUUGAUUGACUGAAACUUGAACUCAAAAUUCAAGUUUCAUGAGGUCUAAUUUAAUGAGGUUAAGACGCCAGAGCUUUGCUGGUGUGUCGUGAAAGAAGAAAUCCAAGAGCACCGGGAGAUGGCAAUGUUGGAGUGGAUUGAUCAUGUGUGACUUAUUCCCUAACUAUAUUCUAUGUGAAGACCCAAGAAGAUACUCCCUUUACCAAGGCAUUAAAAAAUACAUUUGUCAGGGGAGCACCUGUGUCUUUGACAAGUUCUGUGGUUAUUCCCUUUGUUAGGCCAGGCUGUAGGUGGUUCCAACUUUAAGAUGGGCCCCCUAAUUUCAGUGGGGAUGACGGUAUUGCAUUGUAGCAGAGGCCAAGUUGAAGCACUUAACCAACAAAGACAAGGUGGGCACAUCAACCAUAAAGGGCAUCAGAAAUGUUUCAGCAAUCAAAACACUUUGGCCUACAGAGAUCUUAACUGAUCUAUAUAAUAGGAAAACUCUAUGUCCAGCAGCCAAAUACCUGAUUUGAGUCAGGCAUUGAUUUGAGUCAUAACAAUGGUGAAUGGUGGCCUCUCACUCAGUUUCCAGGCUUAAGUUGGUUCACUGAUUCAGAGUGAAGUUGGUUCACUGAUUCAGAACCUUUGCUUGAAUAGGAGGCUAGGUUCCCUUGAAGAUCUUGCAGGACCUCGUAACACUGCUAUAAGAAAACACCUGAAGCCAGGCGCAGUGGCUCAUGCCUAUAAUCCCAGCACUUUGUGAGGCCAAGGCAGGUGGAUCACGAUUUCAGGAGAUCGAGACCAUCCUGGCCAACAUGGUGAAACCCCGUCUCUACUAAAAUACAAAAAUUAGCUGGGUGUGGUGGCAUGCACCUGUAAUCCCAGC